CCGCCGGCGACCGGCGCACGGGUGAGUAACACGUAUGCAACCUGGCCGUGUCAGAUGGAUAACCGGGAGAAAUCCCGCCUAAUACAACAUAAUGCCGGGAGGGGACAUCCCCUGCCGGCCAAAGGGGCGACCCCGGUCACGGAUGGGCAUGCGGCGCAUUAGGUAGUUGGUGGGGCAACGGCCCACCAAGCCGACGAUGCGUAGGGGUUCUGAGAGGAAGGUCCCCCACAUUGGAACUGAGACACGGUCCAAACUCCUACGGAAGGCAGCAG
rnacentral:rRNA from 1 species